CCCCCCUCUAAUCAGUGAAAUUGAUCUCCCCGUGAAGAAGCGGGGAUAUAAAUAUAAGACGAGAAGACCCCAUGGAGCUUUAAACCCAACAACACCUAUNUAUUUUAUUCCCCCAUAUUUAUACGGUUAUGUUUGUUUGGUUUUAGGUUGGGGUGACCGCGGAGUAUAAAACAACCUCCACGAAGAAAAGACUAAUAAUCUUUAUCAGAGAAAGACAUUUCUAAGAAAUAAUAUAUUAACUUUAAAUGAUCCGAUAUUCGAUUAACGAAUCAAGUUACCCUGGGGAUAACAGCGCAAUCCACCUUAAGAGCCCUUAUCGACAGGUGGGUUUACGACCUCGAUGUUGGAUCAGGGUAUCACAGUGGUGCAGCAGCUACUAAUGGUUCGUUUGUUCAACGAUUA
rnacentral:rRNA from 1 species